AACCAUAGAAACCUGCGGAGUACCUGCGGAAGGAUCAUUACAAGUGACCCCGGUCUAACCACCGGGAUGUUCAUAACCCUUUGUUGUCCGACUCUGUUGCCUCCGGGGCGACCCUGCCUUCGGGCGGGGGCUCCGGGUGGACACUUCAAACUCUUGCGUAACUUUGCAGUCUGAGUAAACUUAAUUAAUAAAUUAAAACUUUCAACAAUGGAUCU
rnacentral:misc_RNA from 1 species